rnacentral:misc_RNA from 1 species
CGCACAUUGCGCCCCUCGGUAUUCCGGGGGGCAUACCUGUUCGAGCGUCAUUACACCUCUCAAGCGUAGCUUGGUAUUGGGCCUCGCUCCCUCAAAAGGGCGUGCCUGAAAAGUAGUGGCGGUCCGGCGUGGCCUUGAACGUAGUAAAUUUACCCCCGUUCUGAAGGCUUCACGUCGCGGCUGGCCAGAAUUGUCCCAUCUCUCAAGAAUUGACCUCGGAUCAGGUAGGGAUACCCGCUGAACUUAA